rnacentral:rRNA from 1 species
AGUGAACGCUGGCGGUAGGCCUAACACAUGCAAGUCGAACGGCAGCACAGUAAGAGCUUGCUCUUACGGGUGGCGAGUGGCGGACGAGUGAGGAAUACAUCGGAAUCUACUUUUUCGUGGGGGAUAACGUAGGGAAACUUACGCUAAUACCGCAUACGACCUACGGGUGAAAGCAGGGGAUCUUCGGACCUUGCGCGAUUGAAUGGGCCGAUGUCGGAUUAGCUAGUUGGCGGGGUAAAGGCCCACCAAGGCGACGAUCCGUAGCUGGUCUGAGAGGAUGAUCAGCCACACUGGAACUGAGACACGGUCCAGACUCCUACGGGAGGCAGCAGUGGGGAAUAUUGGACAAUGGGCGCAAGCCUGAUCCAGCCAUACCGCGUGGGUGAAGAAGGCCUUCGGGUUGUAAAGCCCUUUUGUUGGGAAAGAAAAGCAGCAGGUUAAUACCCCGCUGUUCUGACGGUACCCAAAGAAUAAGCACCGGCUAACUUCGUG